rnacentral:tRNA from 1 species
GCCGCUAUCGUCUAGUGGACUAGGACGCUGCUCUCUCAAGGCAGAAACCCGGGUUCGAAUCCCGGUAGCGGCACAA